GACGAACGCUGGCGGCGUGCUUAACACAUGCAAGUCGAACGAGAAAGCCCUUCGGGGUAAGUACAGUGGCGAACGGGUGAGUAACACGUGGGCAACCUGCCCCAGAGAGCGGGACAACCCGGGGAAACCCGGGCUAAUACCGCAUGAUGCGUCUCCACUUAAGUGGAGCCGCCAAAUGGUAGCUUCGGCCUCCGCUCUGGGAUGGGCCCGCGCCGGAUUAGCUAGUUGGUUGGGGUAACGGCCCACCAAGGCGACGAUCCGUAGCUGGUCUGAGAGGACGAUCAGCCACACUGGGACUGAGACACGGCCCAGACUCGUACGGGAGGCAGCAGUGGGGAAUCUUGCGCAAUGGGCGAAAGCCUGACGCAGCAACGCCGCGUGGGGGAAGAAGGCCUUCGGGUUGUAAACCUCUUUCAGUAGGGACGAAGCUUCCGGGGUUAAUAGCCUACGGGGUGACGGUACCUACAGAAGGAGCCCCGGCUAACUACGUGCCAGCCGCCGCGGUAA
rnacentral:rRNA from 1 species